rnacentral:rRNA from 1 species
UCGGGAAUUUUGGGCAAUGGGCGAAAGCCUGACCCAGCAACGCCGCGUGAAGGAUGAAGUAUUUCGGUAUGUAAACUUCGAAAGAAUGGGAAGAAUAAAUGACGGUACCAUUUAUAAGGUCCGGCUAACUACGUGCCAGCAGCCGCGGUAAUACGUAGGGACCAAGCGUUGUUCGGAUUUACUGGGCGUAAAGGGCGCGUAGGCGGCAUUGUAAGUCACUUGUGAAAUCUCCGGGCUUAACCCGGAACGGCCAAGUGAUACUGCAGUGCUAGAGUGCAGAAGGGGCAAUCGGAAUUCUCGGUGUAGCGGUGAAAUGCGUAGAUAUCGAGAGGAACACCUGAGGUGAAGACGGGUUGCUGGGCUGACACUGACGCUGAGGCGCGAAAGCCAGGGGAGCAAACG